rnacentral:tRNA from 1 species
GGGGCUGUAGCUCAGCUGGGAGAGCGCUACAUUCGCAUUGUAGAGGCCGUCGGUUCGAUCCCGAUCAGCUCCAC